UCCGACUUAACGUCGGCAGUCUCUUUAGAGUGCCCAACUUAAUGCUGGCAACUAAAGACAGGGGUUGCGCUCGUUAUGGGACUUAACCCGACAUCUCACGACACGAGCUGACGACAGCCAUGCAGCACCUGAUACUAGUGUCCCGAAGGCCUACGAUAUCUCUACCGUAUUCACUAGCACUUCAAACCCAGGUAAGGUUUUUCGCGUUGCAUCGAAUUGAACCACAUGCUCCACCUCUUGUGCGGGCCCCCGUCAAUUUCUUUGAGUUUUAAUCUUGCGACCGUACUUCCCAGGCGGGAUACUUAACGCGUUAGCUGCGCCACAGACGAGCAAGCUCGCCAACGGCUGGCAUUCAUCGUUUACGGCGUGGACUAC
rnacentral:misc_RNA from 1 species